rnacentral:lncRNA from 1 species
AGGCUGAAGUGCAAUGGCGCGAUCUCGGCUCACCGCAACCUCCGCCUCCAAGGUUUAAGCGAUUCUCCUGCCUCAGCCUCCCGACUAGCUGGGAUUACAGGCAUUCACCACCAAGCCCGUCUAAUUUUAUAUUUUUAGUAGAGACGGGAUUUCCCCAUGUUGGUCAGGUUGGUCUCGAGCUCCCGACCUCAGGUGAUCGCCCGCCUCGACCUCCCAAAGUGCUGGGAUUACAGGCGUGAACCACCGUGCCCGGCCUUGGCCGCAUGUGUUUUGAAUUUUGCUGCCCGGAAUUCACUGCGAGGACUGGGAUCACCCGUCACCCCGCCCUGGUCUACGGAAAAUGAAAUGUGUUUACUGAUAUAGAAACGGAAUAACGGCGCUGUGGGCUGGGGAGGGCCGAGCUGCCUUCAGGCUUCUGGUCUCCAGCUGCAGGGCACUCACACCUGCCCGUUAUGAAAAUGCAGACCCGCAGGGCAGGAAUUCCGAGUCCGGGCUGGAGCGUGAUCUGGAAUCCGGCUCUCUUGAAACAGCACCGCGGAGGAUUCGGAUCCGGGGUCUGACCGGCAGACCCAGGCUGCACGAUGGAUGAAUAAUGUACUCAGACACCGAUAUUCAGUGAAAGAGUGCACCAGAGGGCCAGGCCACUCACAGAAAGGGUUGUGGCAGCUGCGUGCCCUGACUAUCUGGCCCUGUGGGCCUUUAUUCAGCACAGAUUUAAUGACAAAGGCUUUGAGUCAACACACCUGUGGGUAAUUAAUCUGGUCGCAGUCCCCCGGAGAGAGCAGUCCUACAAAUGAUCAAAGGAGCUGGGACAGUUAUAUUCAUCAGAACAGCACGGUGUCAAGGCCCUCACCCCCAGAAAGCUUAGGAGACACUGUUUUAUGGAGGAGAGUGAGAUUGGAGGAAGCCCUGACUCCAGGUCUCCUGAUCCUUCCUACACAAAGCGAAGCUGAAAAAAAGUGCAGGACACUCCAUUUCCUCCUGGGACCAGACAGGGAAGCCAGAGCCACCAUGGAUGUCAAAUUCCGGCAAGGAAACACCAGUAUAGCAAAAUCUCCACAUCACAUUUUAAAGCUCACACAAUGGCUCAAAGAGAACCCACAUCAAAAAACCGAAUUCCUAGCUCAGGUGAGAUCACCAAAGUUGCCUGUGAGGCUUCGUGGAACCUGCAGGUAGAAAGGACAUCUUUAUUUCGAGCUGCAGCCCAGUUGCUUCUGCGUCUUGGAGCCCCUUGAAAGGACCCUCUCCCUUCAACAGUACAUAGGGAGGCCAUUUCUGGGGAGAAAUGUAGACUGUCCUUAGACUCCUGAGGUUUUUACACUUGCUUGCUGACUCUGUGGACUUUGACUUCAUCAUUAAACAUCUUAUAAUGAUGUAAUUUGCUUUGACUGUAAGUGUAGAACAGGACGCUGUUCCUGAAUCAGGAAACAAGGGACUGGUGACCUGAACUGCCACCACCCUCCCUGGUGCUCAGAUGCAAUGAAAUCGUGAGGCAACAAAUCUAUGGCUAGGUAAAGGGUCAACUCCAUUUCAGCAAAUGUUUCAGAUGUUCCUUCCUGCCUAGUAAUGUUCCAGCUUUACCCCAGCCUUAAUCUUUUAAAAUGUAUAUUUUCCUUAGCGUUGAUUUUAAAGUAAUUCGUAUGUAUUUAUUACACUGGGUUUGUUGCAGUAAGCCACCUCGAAUGUUGCUGUAGAAUUAAAGUAAGC